GAUACAAAGGGAGUGUUGUCAAUCAACUCGGAGAGGCACGUGUCUUGCGACACUAGAGCAUAAUGAAUAAUCAACAAAUUAUGAAAGCUCUACAAGGAAAACUUUAUCACAAUAAUAUAUAUUUCUUAGGCUGUCUUCCCGCUGACGAUGUAGCGAAAUUAAAUCUAAGGAGUGAGUCAGACAAGCCCAUUGUCUUUAUUGCUAAUGUGUUAGGCGCAUCGCAAGCUUCGAAAAUGGGUCACUGGGUGGUGUUCUAUGUUAGUGAUAAGUGUAUAUAUUUCUUCGACACAUACGCCCUGACCCCAUCAUUAUAUUCUAAGUACUUUCGAAGUUUCUUAAAUAAGCAUAAAGAUUAUCCUGUUUUUAAACUUGCCGCAAGAUUACAGUCGGACAAAACUCUGGUGUGUGGCGUGUAUUGCAUUCAAUUCGUAUACUUAUGUAAUAAAAUAGGCUUAGAGAGGACUAGUCAGUUUCUGAAAGAUAAUUAUGAUUUAGGAAAUUUUUUGAAGAAUGACAGAAAGGUGUUAACAUAUGCUUAUAGAAUGUUUAAAAUGCCCCCAUGUAUAAAAACAUUUUGUCAAUCUAGUCAAGGACUGACUUACAAGCAUUGUAUUUCUAAGAUAUGUGGCUAACUUAUUAAAUGCUACAAUGUGUGUGUGUGUAAAAAAUGUAGAGCAGUAGCAUGUAGCUUAUUCAUUUAUGGCGUGUGUGUGCAAUUAUAUGUAGUUAUUAAGAACAGGAUUUUUUUUUUUUUUUUCGUGCGAUGUGACCGGGUGGGUGUGAGUUUGUUCACGCUUUCCUAUGUGUAAAAAAAAUGUAGAGAAGUAGUAUAUAGCUUAUUCAUUUAUGGCGUGUGUGUAGUUAUAUGUAGUUAUUAAGAACAGGAUUCUGUUUUUUUUUUUUUUUUUCGUGCGACGUGACCGGGUGGGUGUGAGUUUGUUCACGCUUUCCUAUUGUUCGGAUGAAGAAUGGCUUGUGGUUUUGGGCAUGUGCGCGCGUGUUUGCAUACAUGUGUGGGCGUGUCCCCUAUAACCUGGGGUAGCCUCGGAAGAAGAAAAGGCUUGUGGUAGUGUGCGCAUAUGCCCCAAAUAACCCCGGGUAGCUUAGUCAGUCCCCUAACGUUGCGAGAGGAGCGUCAUGGAGGAAGUCUUCGCCGUCAUGAACUUACAACAACAACAACAACAACAACAACAACAGCCCCACGCUGCCGCUGCAACUCUUCAUGCUGACGAUGUUGACGAUCAGAUAAUGGGUCAAGCCGCAUUAGAAGUUGAAGCCAUGGAUAACACAUCCCAAGCUGAAGCCGUGGAUAACACAUCACAUCCCAGAAACGGAGCGGAUGUUGGUGGUGGUGAGGUGGGGGAUGUUCCAGAAACUCCCAAGUCUACCGGUGAACAUAUCACGGGCGAGUCAUUGGGCAACAACAACCGCGGCGCGUUGGGAGGUGUCGGUAAAAUGGGGCGGCGUGUGCUGAGGGAAGGAUGUGAUACCUCCAUUACCAGUGUCUCAUCUGAAGAACGACCCACCGGACAGCGUAACGCAUAUCCACGGCAACAACAACAGACACGCUUCGGUGAUGGUGUGUCUUGACUCUCCGUCGGGCGCUGAAUCGCGAGAGCGGCGGCGAAGUCGUCUGCAGCAAAAAGAUCAUGAAAUGCGUCAAUCACGACUGGAAAAAAAAAUGCAGCAUAUGGCGGAAGUGUUGCGGCCGCGCCCACUUCUGACUUGACAUACCCCGCUUGACCUUUCUUGGAAGUGUCAUAGGCGGGGUGGGUGGUGGGGAAGUUACUAAAAUCCAUUAUGGAUUUUAUGAGUGGAAGCGAAUAAAAUUCACUAAUGUCUUGGAAGUUAGAGAUGCAUAUGGUGGCCGAAUCUGUGAGAGUCCUAUAUUUAGUGCUUAACAAUCUUUUUUUUAUAUAUGUACUCGCUCUGUGUGUAUUAUUUUUUAUAUAUAUAUGUGCUUGUGUUGUGUAUUUUUUUUCUUCAUUUGUAUAUGUACUCGUGUUGUCAUCCUUUUAUGGGCUGUCUUUGGGCAUGUACGACAUAAGUUUGUAAUAUGUCUCUUUCAAUUAGGAUUUAUUUUGGGGGAGGGAAAAAAAAAAGGGUAGGAUGGGUGGGUUUCCAUUGUAUUUCUUUGAGCCUGUACGGUGUGAGUUUGUAAUAUGUCUUUUUUUUUUUAUGGCGAUUGUGUGUUUUUGUUUUUAGGCUUAGCAUGUAUUUAGUCUGGAUUAAGAAAGAACAAAUUAGCCUGGAUUAAGAAAGAACAAAUAAAAUAGACUAGAUUAAGGUAAUAUAAUAACUUGUCAUACCAUUUUUUUCCACUAUAUUUCAAUAAAAAUGUAUAAAAUCUACUUUUCCCGUUCCUACCCCUCACUGA